rnacentral:ncRNA from 1 species
AGUGGACCCGGCGUUUGCCGGGUGGCUCGGCCGGGCGCCUAUCCCUCGGACAACU